GAUGAACGCUGGCGGCGUGCCUAAUACAUGCAAGUCGAGCGAACGGACGAGAAGCUUGCUUCUCUGAUGUUAGCGGCGGACGGGUGCGUAACACGUGGAUAACCUACCUAUAAGACUGGGAUAACUUCGGGAAACCGGAGCUAAUACCGGAUAAUAUUUUGAACCGCAUGGUUCAAAAGUGAAAGACGGUCUUGCUGUCACUUAUAGAUGGAUCCGCGCUGCAUUAGCUAGUUGGUAAGGUAACGGCUUACCAAGGCAACGAUGCAUAGCCGACCUGAGAGGGUGAUCGGCCACACUGGGACUGAGACACGGUCCAGACUCCUACGGGGGGCAGCAGUAGGGAAUCUUCCGCAAUGGGCGAAAGCCUGACGGAGCAACGCCGCGUGAGUGAUGAAGGUCUUCGGAUCGUAAAACUCUGUUAUUAGGGAAGAACAUAUGUGUAAGUAACUGUGCACAUCUUGACGGUACCUAAUCAGAAAGCCACGGCUAACUACG
rnacentral:rRNA from 1 species